rnacentral:tRNA from 2 species
GCCGAUGUAGCUCAAUGGCAGAGCCGAGGUUUUGUAACCCUCAGACGGCAGUUCAAUUCUGCCCAUCGGCU